CCAGAAGGGUUAAAAAAAAUAAUUACAUAAAUUCCCCAAACAUCUCUCUCUUCACUUCCUUACCACCCGCACUGAAGCCAAAGACCCCUAAAUUUGAAACCAUAAACUCUCCCUGAUCUUCCUCUAAAUCUAAAUAACCUAAAUGCCAUGAAAUCCUACUUGUGAUUUUCUCAUAUAUCCCCAAAAUCCCUAUAAUCUCGAGAAACGAACCCUAAUCCUUAUUCGCACAAGUAGAUGUUGUAGAUUUGAGAGCAUGGGUAUCAAUCGAUGUUGUAGAUUUGAGAGCGUGGGGAAACCCUAACCUCUUUGUCUAAAGAUCUAGCUCUGAAUCUCUAUCUUCAUCGUCGUCAUCAGAUGGCUUGCAAGAAAGUUUAGCUAAAUUCAAGAAGUAACAAGAGAAGUGCCAAUUGACUCUCAUUAGCAUUGCAACCGAAGCAAGAUCCCCUGAGCCUAGAGUACCUUGAGAUGCAUGUUGGAGCAGUUGAGCCUAGUGAUCGUGCUUUGGUAGCGAUAAUGUAAUUGCUAUUGGUGGUAGUCUUUGUGUAGCUAUGAAUUUACUUGUUAAUCAUAUUGUAAAAGUUUGAACGUGUGUUGUAUAUUAAAAUACUUUGAUCCAUUAGUUCUUAUGGAAAUGCUAGUGUUUUUCUCUAUUAUUUUAAGGUGUAUAUUAGUUAUUGCUAUUAUUGGAAAGAAUAGACAGACACUUGAUUC